GAGUUCAAAGUGACCGACUGAGAGGAGGAGGGUUCAGGAAGGAAGGAGAGGGAGAAGAAGAGGCAGCGUGCGCACUCGGCUUCGUCAGAGAUGGGGAUCUUCUGGAGCAAGGCGGAGCCGCCGCCGCCGAUGGUGCUCGUCCCGCCGCUCUUCGACUACCCACCCAUCGCCGCCCGCACCAGGAUGUCGGUGCCAGCGUAUGAGCUAAUGUUUGGGAAGCUCUCGCUGCAGAAUCUGUUUGAGGACUACUUUGAUCAUGCGGGGAAUAUGACCUCAAGGGUCAUGCUGAAGCCACUGGAGGAUCCUCAUGUUGAUUUGAUUGCCACUGUGUCUGCAGCUGCUGAUAAAAUAGACGGAACACAAGUAAAGGGAGAUGCUCUAUUUCGCUGGCAGAAAGAUUUAGAUGAUCCCCAUACCUUUGUGGACCUUCUUGUGUCAACUUCAAACCCAAUGUUGCAGGUUAGGUCAUGUGCUUACCAUCCUAAGUACCGUGUUGGUGCGUUUGGGACAUUCCCUUUACUAAUGGGAAACAGGGUGCGUUCUGAGGAUUAUGGUGUCAUGGGAGUAAGAUACGGUUCAGAGAAUCUAUCAUUUGGGUCUUCCUUUGUGCCAUUUCCUGGAUCUGCUGAACUACCCUCUGGAGCAUGGUUGGUCGGGAGAAAAGGGAGCUUAAGUGCAGGAGUGCAAUACAAGCCACUUAGUGGAAACAAACAUCUUAUGCCAUAUACAGAUUGGAAGAACUGGAAUUGUGCAAUCAGUUAUGGUGUAGGAUUAACAAGCCCACUCAGUCCUUCCUUCAUUUUUUCUCUAGAGCUUGCCAGAAGUACAGAGUUCAUUGCAUCGUUCUAUCAACACAUGGUUGUUCAAAGAAGGGUUAAAAACCCUUUUGAAGAUGAUCAGAUUGUUGGAAUCACAAACUACAUUGAUUUUGGGCUUGAAUUGGCUACAAGGAUUGAUAAAGAUAAACCAUCAGAGAGUGCCAACAAUUCCUUGUUUCAGUUUGCAGCAAGUUGGCAAGCUAAUAAGAACUUCCUAUUCAAGGGAAAGCUAGGUCCUUCCAAGUCUUCUGUAGCUUUGGCAUUCAAGUCAUGGUGGAGACCAUCCUUCACAUUUAGUGUCACAGCUGUGAACGAUCAUUUGAAGGGGACAAGAUCAUAUGGAUUUGGAAUUCGUGUUGAGGAUCUUAGACAGCCAAGUUACCAAAGGGCUGAUCCAAACUAUGUAAUGCUAACACCAAGCAAGGAGCACUUGGCACCAGGUGUUUUGCGAGAGUACGGGAAGCGGCCCAUGUUCCAGGCAGAGGUUGAUUCGGGCAACUAUGAUCAUUUACCUACAGAGUUGAAGCCUAUCAGCAAGAUAUUCUAGCAGUGGCCGUUUUUGGUCAAUCCUUUGCUCAAAAGAACUUCACCCGGUACAUCUGAAAGGCAUCAUCAAACGUAGGUCUGUUUCAACUUUGCAAGACAGUUGGUCCAUUAUGAUGUACAAGUUUUGUCGUGAAGAAUGUCUAGGUUGAAACUUAGUGAUAUCUCACCUUGGAAGUGUAGCCAUCAACUCCGUAGAUUAUAGAAGAAUGUGGGCAAUCAAGUUGAAGUUAUUAUUGAGCGUGUUGAAUUAAUUAAUAGACCAUAUGGUUCGGUCUACUCUUCUGCACUUCACAAACACGGACCAGAACUAUCCAAGUCUAUUUGAGUUGGGAAAAAAAAUCUUAUGCAGCAGUCAGUAGGGGGCAAAAGAGAAGUCCUUUGUGAGUUGGUGACCAUAGAUCCAUAGCAUGGCACCUAGGAAGCCUAUAGUACCUCCAUCCGGAACAAGGUAAUUUAAAUAAAAUAGAUUUAUCAAUGCACAAACAGUUUAAUUGCUGAGCGUGUACAAAAUCACAAACCAAUCACGUGUCACAUCUUUGAAAGUAGCAUGAUCUUUUAUCUUC